rnacentral:rRNA from 1 species
GAUGAACGCUGGCGGCGUGCUUAACACAUGCAAGUCGAACGAAGCACUUUAACCUGAUUCUUCGGAUGAAGGUUUUUGUGACUGAGUGGCGGACGGGUGAGUAACGCGUGGGUAACCUGCCUCAUACAGGGGGAUAACAGUUAGAAAUGACUGCUAAUACCGCAUAAGACCACAGAGCCGCAUGGCUCGGUGGGAAAAACUCCGGUGGUAUGAGAUGGACCCGCGUCUGAUUAGGUAGUUGGUGGGGUAACGGCCUACCAAGCCAACGAUCAGUAGCCGAACUGAGAGGGUGACCGGCCACAUUGGGACUGAGACACGGCCCAAACUCCUACGGGAGGCAGCAGUGGGGAAUAUUGCACAAUGGGGGAAACCCUGAUGCAGCGACGCCGCGUGAGCGAAGAAGUAUUUCGGUAUGUAAAGCCCUAUCAGCAGGGAAGAAAAUGACGGUACCUGACUAAGAAGCACCGGCUAAAUACGUG